rnacentral:misc_RNA from 1 species
UGGUUCUCGCAUCGAUGAAGAACGCAGCGAAACGCGAUAGGUAAUGUGAAUUGCAGAAUUCCGUGAAUCAUCGAAUCUUUGAACGCACAUUGCGCCUUCUGGUAUUCCGGUAGGCAUGUCUGUUUGAGCGUCAGCAAAACCCCUCAGCAUGCAGUUUUUGUCAACUGCCGGCUGGCUUUGGGCUUGGAAGACGGCGGCGUAAGCCCCCGCUCCUGCCUUAAACUUGCUGCACGACCGCAAGCAUCUGGCUAGGUUAAUGGAGUGGUGUUUACAUUCUUUCCAUGCUCUCCUGCUAGUGCUAAUGGCGUUAAACCCGAUGUUGCCCUAGUGCAACUGAAGUUUGACCUCAAAUCAGAUAAGGAUACCCGCUGA